GAGAGAGAGAGAGAGAGAGAGAGAGAGAGAGCGAAAGAGAGUGGCCUAGGCUAACCUAAUCAUUCUCCCUGCCAUGACAACCUUCUUCCUGGAACAGACUACGAUGAGUUUAUUUCCCCUUGCACAAUUUACCAAAUUUCACAACCAAUCAAGCAGAAUCUCGCUUCCUGAGAAAGAAACAUACCUAAGCAGAAACAACAGUGACAGCACCAUCAACAAAAAAGGAAGGGAUCUUCUGCAGCUUUGUCGAAGCCUGGGUCUGUACUUUGUCAAUGGAACAGGAACUGGACCUCACUGACAGCAGAAACUGGACCUCACUGACAGCAGAAACUGGACCUCACUGACAGAACAGAGGAGGAAGCGUCUACAGAGCAUCACCUCAUGGGACGUGUUAAGCUCAUGACCAGACACAUGGAGGAUAAUGGCUCCCCUCAUGUUAAGCUCAUGACCAGACACAUGGAGGAUAAUGGCUCCCCUCAUGUUAAGCUCAUGACCAGACACAUGGAGGAUAAUGGCUCCCCUCAUGUUAAGCUCAUGACCAGACACAUGGAGGAUAACGGAUAAUGAGGGGUCAUGGUCUAAUGAGGAAGCCAUUGUAGUGUAUUGGAUUAUGUCUGUGUUAAAUGUUUUUCAUGAAGAAAUGGAAUGUUGUUUCAUUUAGUGCAAGAAGGGGGGAUGUUUUAUGAUGUUAUUUGAAAUGUGCCGUUUUGAGGGUGACGCCCGAGGGGAGACUGGUGAUUGGCUAGAA